rnacentral:rRNA from 1 species
AGCUGGAGCUUGCUCUGGNUGGAUUAGUGGCGAACGGGUGAGUAACACGUGAGUAACCUGCCCUUGACUCUGGGAUAAGCGUUGGAAACGACGUCUAAUACCGGAUACGAGCUUCAGCCGCAUGGCUAGGAGUUGGAAAGAAUUUCGGUCAAGGAUGGACUCGCGGCCUAUCAGCUAGUUGGUGAGGUAAUGGCUCACCAAGGCGACGACGGGUAGCCGGCCUGAGAGGGUGACCGGCCACACUGGGACUGAGACACGGCCCAGACUCCUACGGGAGGCAGCAGUGGGGAAUAUUGCACAAUGGGCGCAAGCCUGAUGCAGCAACGCCGCGUGAGGGACGACGGCCUUCGGGUUGUAAACCUCUUUUAGCAGGGAAGAAGCGAAAGUGACGGUACCUGCAGAAAAAGCACCGGCUAACUACGUGCCAGCAGCCGCGGUAAUACGUAGGGUGCAAGCGUUGUCCGGAAUUAUUGGGCGUAAAGAGCUCGUANGCGGUUUGUCGCGUCUGCUGUGAAAACGCGAGGCUCAACCUCGCGCCUGCAGUGGGUACGGGCAAACUAGAGUGCGGUAGGGGAGAUUGGAAUUCCUGGUGUAGCGGUGGAAUGCGCAGAUAUCAGGAGGAACACCGAUGGCGAAGGCAGAUCUCUGGGCCGUAACUGACGCUGAGGAGCGAAAGCGUGGGGAGCGAACAGGAUUAGAUACCCUGGUAGUCCACGCCGUAAACGUUGGGAACUAGAUGUAGGACCAUUCCACGGGUUUCUGUGUCGCANCUAACGCAUUAAGUUCCCCGCCCUGGGGAGUACGG